AGCAUUCUCUGGUGUUGAAGGCCCUGCAAAGCAGCAUCGCGGUGGCGGAGCGUCGUUUGCGACGCCCAACACACAAAACAAGCGGUGAAUGCUUUGGGGUGGGGUGACUGCGUACCUUUUGUAUAAUGGGUCAGCGACUUAUAUUCUGUAGCAAGGUUAACCGAAUAGGGGAGCCGGAGGGAAACCGAGUCUUAAUUGGGCGUUAAGUUGCAGGGUAUAGACCCGAAACCCGGUGAUCUAGCCAUGGGCAGGUUGAAGGUUGGGUAACACUAACUGGAGGACCGAACCGACUAAUGUUGAAAAAUUAGCGGAUGACCUGUGGCUGGGGGUGAAAGGCCAAUCAAACCGGGAGAUAGCUGGUUCUCCCCGAAAGCUAUUUAGGUAGCGCCUCGUGAAUUCAUCUCCGGGGGUAGAGCACUGUUUCGGCUAGGGGGCCAUCCCGGCUUACCAACCCGAUGCAAACUGCGAAUACCGGAGAAUGUUAUCACGGGAGACACACGGCGGGUGCUAACGUCCGUCGUGAAGAGGGAAACAACCCAGACCGCCAGCUAAGGUCCCAAAGUCAUGGUUAAGUGGGAAACGAUGUGGGAAGGCCCAGACAGCCAGGAUGUUGGCUUAGAAGCAGCCAUCAUUUAAAGAAAGCGUAAUAGCUCACUGGUCGAGUCGGCCUGCGCGGAAGAUGUAACGGGGCUAAACCAUGCACCGAAGCUGCGGCAGCGAACGUAUCACCCAAGACAACUUUACGGAGUUGACGAUUGACGGAGCGAAGCGACGUCAAAGCGUUCAUUAAAGUCGAGUUGGCUUAGGGAUACGUUCGUUGGGUAGGGGAGCGUUCUGUAAGCCUGUGAAGGUGUGUCGUGAGGCAUGCUGGAGGUAUCAGAAGUGCGAAUGCUGACAUAAGUAACGAUAAAGCGGGUGAAAAGCCCGCUCGCCGGAAGACCAAGGGUUCCUGUCCAACGUUAAUCGGGGCAGGGUGAGUCGACCCCUAAGGCGAGGCCGAAAGGCGUAGUCGAUGGGAAACGGGUUAAUAUUCCCGUACUUGGUGUUACUGCGAAGGGGGGACGGAGAAGGCUAUGUUGGCCGGGCGACGGUUGUCCCGGUUUAAGCGUGUAGGUGUGUGUUCCAGGUAAAUCCGGUUCACUUUAACACUGAGGCGUGACGACGAGGCACUACGGUGCUGAAGCAACAAAUGCCCUGCUUCCAGGAAAA
rnacentral:rRNA from 1 species